GACGAACGCUGGCGGCGUGCUUAACACAUGCAAGUCGAACGGAAAGGCCCUGCUUUUGUGGGGUGCUCGAGUGGCGAACGGGUGAGUAACACGUGAGUAACCUGCCCUUGACUUUGGGAUAACUUCAGGAAACUGGGGCUAAUACCGGAUAGGAGCUCCUGCUGCAUGGUGGGGGUUGGAACGUUUCGGCGGUUGGGGAUGGACUCGCGGCUUAUCAGCUUGUUGGUGGGGUAGUGGCUUACCAAGGAUUUGACGGGUAGCCGGCCUGAGAGGGUGACCGGCCACAUUGGGACUGAGAGACGGCCCAGACGCCUACGGGAGGCAGCAGGGGGGAGUAUUGCACAAUGGGCGGAAGCCUGAUGCAGCAACGCCGCGUGCGGGAUGACGGCCUUCGGGUUGUAAACCGCUGUCGCCUGUGACGAAGCGUGAGUGACGGUAAUGGGUAAAGAAGCACCGGCUAACUACGUG
rnacentral:rRNA from 1 species